UAGGGAAUCUUCGGCAAUGGGGGGAACCCUGACCGAGCAACGCCGCGUGAGUGAAGAAGGUUUUCGGAUCGUAAAGCUCUGUUGUUAAGGAAGAACGAGUGUGAGAAUGGAAAGUUCAUACUGUGACGGUACUUAACCAGAAAGGGACGGCUAACUACGUGCCAGCAGCCGCGGUAAUACGUAGGUCCCGAGCGUUGUCCAGAUUUAUUGGGCGUAAAGCGAGCGCAGGCGGUUAGAUAAGUCUGAAGUUAAAGGCAGUGGCUCAACCAUUGUAGGCUUUGGAAACUGUUUAACUUGAGUGCAGAAGGGGAGAGUGGAAUUCCAUGUGUAGCGGUGAAAUGCGUAGAUAUAUGGAGGAACACCGGUGGCGAAAGCGGCUCUCUGGUCUGUAACUGACGCUGAGGCUCGAAAGCGUGGGGAGCGAACAGGAUUAGAUACCCUGGUAGUCCACGCCGUAAACGAUGAGUGCUAGGUGUUAGGUCCUUUCCGGGACUUAGUGCCGCAGCUAACGCAUUAAGCACUCCGCCUGGGGAGUACGACCGCAAGGUUG
rnacentral:rRNA from 1 species